rnacentral:lncRNA from 1 species
GGAUCCCCAACAGGAAGCUACCCUCAAGUGAUACUACAUUGCAAUGUGACUUUGCAAGAUAACUUCCAUCACAACUUGUACUAGUUUUGUUUAUGCAUUUCAUUCUAUUGUUACUUGGAGGCCUCUUUGGAGUAAUAUUGUAAAUUUUGGGGCGGAUUGUCCUAAUCCCUGGUUGAUUUUGGGAGAUUUCAACAAUGUUCUAAAAUAUGAUGAAAGAUGUAAUUGAGUGAAUGUUAGUGUGUACGAGAUUAAAGACUUCGCGGAUUGUUGUUUGAGCGAGCGUCUUUCGGAUUUGAGUUCCAUUGGUUGCUUUUAUCCAUGGUCUAAAAAUUCACAAGGAAGUACACCCUUGGUAUGAAGUAAGAUUGAUCACGCCAUGGUGAAUGAAACAUGGUUAUAAGCGGGUUUUCAAGCCUUGGUGGAUUUUCAGCUGUCGGGAUGCUUGUCGGAUCAUUCACCUUGCAUUGUGUCACUUUUCCAACAAGAUGUGGUCAAAGGCAAGCACUUCAAAUUUUUUAACAUGUGGGCAGAUCACUCAGAAUGCCAAAAUCAGGUUGCUACUAGCUGGGAUCAGCAAGUUCCUGGCACUAAACAGUACAUUCUUUGCAAGAAUCUUCAACGGUUGAAGGAAGUUUUGAAGGAACUCAAUCAAAGGGACUUUGCACAUAUUACAGCAAGGGUUGAGAGCGUGAAAACUGACCUUAAGGCUGCCAAGUUGGAGCUGCAAGAGCAACCCUAUGAUGUUGAAUUGAAAAGUAUGGUUGCACGGUUAAGGAAAAAAACCGUGAAUACCAAGCAACUAAAUGUGAAUACUUGAGGAAGAGUAAUAAAUGUAAAAUUUUUCCACUCCACGGUGAAGAGAAACACCAAAUGGA